ACUCAAAAUUACUCAAGAUGAAGACACUCAAAUAACUUUCCUGAGCAGUUUACAAGCUCCAGCAUCAUCCUCACCUGGUGAUUCUCCACUUAUCUUGCCUGAAAGUCACAUCUCAUCUGGCACAACACUACCAUUAACAGGUAAACAACAAUAGGGUGGGAAAUGUCCUGUCAUUCUGGAAAGCACAUCCAAGUGUUUCCACUGGGCUAUUAGAGAUCAUGUUUGAAUUGCUGAGCUGGAACCAACACACAGAUUUAGGACUGUGCCAAAGCAAAGAUGCCUCCCUAACCACAGGGUGCUACCAGUCCAAGGGCGUUCUGUGUGUCCCGCUUGGGAGAGCCGUGCUUUGCAUAAAUAACUCAUUAUUUCAUAGAGUUGUUGGGGGAGGGAGCAAAGACACUCACUGUACAGCCUGGUGUUUGGGACACAGAUGUGUGAAGAUCCCAUUCUCAUCUCUGUGCUAGUCGGUGUUUCAACUGUACACAAAAGAGACAAGCUUCAGCUGGAGGAGUUGAGAGCAAUCCUGCCCUGUCUCUGGCAGGGAGGGAGUCAGCGGUUACCCAUCUCUCAAGACAAUGUGACAAUGAACAGGCCACUGUGCCAUCUUCUUUCAGGUUCUCUGUCUUCCUCUGAGAAGGCUGUGACUGGAUAUAGGCUGCUAGCUUUCCACAUGGACUGCAAGCAAGGAGCUGCAGGACACGAUAUCUUGUCUUAUGAGUGCAGAAGUGGUGCUGUAGUAUUUGGGACCCAGGUUUUGCUUCUUGGCAGUUGGUUUUGUCCCACUGGUGGCUGGUCACCCUGCAGUGCCGAGUGUCCUGCGGAGCAGCUCCCAGAUGAGCUCUUCCAGUUUAUUUAAUACUCCUUUGAGACAGACCAGGGUUGGGAUGUAAACAGCAUGUUGAUUGUAGGCAUGAACAAUAACAAAUUGGUGUUUUGAGCAGUCAAGAUGCAUGAAAAAAAUAAUCCCGAAAGCUCAGAGAGCAAAGUGGUCAUGGCAAGAAAGAACAAAGAGAUUUAAACUGAGCAAGUGCAAUGACCUUUUAUCUUCUCAUCAAAACAUGUACUGAACCCAAUGCAGCCAUUGUUAUCUGGAACUAAAAAAAAAACCCCAACCUGGGAGCCUGGAAUUCUGUGUAUGUACAUCAAGUAUCCUGAAAAGAAUUUUCUCAAAGGGAAAAGAAAGAGAAGUAAAAAUAUCACUGCAAGUUUAAGAAAAAGAUCUUGAAUUGCUUUUAUCAAUAACUUCAGCUGUUACUUCACUCUAACAAAGAUGUUCUGUUGCAAUGUAAAAACUUUAAUAAUUUGCUUUGAAAUAAAACCCGUUUUUCAAGGACAGUUCAUUAGUAAACCAAAUUACUGUUGCAGCUAGGAU